UAGAGGGGCGGCUGUGGAAUGGUAGGGGAGUAGCUUUCAGUACUUGGGGUUCAUUUGUUGUGCUGAUGUAAUUCUUUUCCGCUGGCAUCUUUCUCUUUUGUUCUUGCAUUUCUGAAUCUUAAGAGUGUAGGAUGCCUAACACUGAGUUUGGAGGUUUGGGCUGGGGGUUCAGAAUUUCGUGUCCUCAGAGACAUUUCAUGUUGACGGAAGGCCUGAAGGACUAUGCUGUUGCCCUUCUGAAAGAUAACUGUAUGUCUAAAGGAAUCAUCACCUCGUAUGGCAUCGCCCUCUCCCCCAAUCUAUUUCAGGUGAGCCAGUGGUACGAGCUGGUGGUGUUUACAGCAAGCAUGGAGAUCUAUGGCUCUGCUGUGGCAGAUAAACUGGACAACAGCAGAAGCAUUCUUAAGAGGAGAUAUUACAGACAGCACUGCACUUUGGAGUUGGGCAGCUACAUCAAGGACCUCUCUGUGGUCCACAGUGAUCUCUCCAGCAUUGUGAUCCUGGAUAACUCCCCAGGGGCUUACAGGAG
rnacentral:sRNA from 1 species